rnacentral:rRNA from 1 species
AAAGACCAGUCCCACGUUCGGAUAAGAGGCUGAAACUCGCCUCUUUGAAGUCGGAAUCGCUAGUAAUCGCAGAUCAGCAUGUUGCGGUGAAUACGUUCCCGGGUCUUGUACACACCGCCCGUCAAACCAUGAGAGUCACCAACACCCGAAGUCCGCCUUGGCGGCCUAAGGUGGGGGAGAUGAUUGGGGUUAAGUCGUAACAAGGUACC